rnacentral:rRNA from 1 species
UGCAGUCGACGAUGAAGCCCUUCGGGGUGGAUUAGUGGCGAACGGGUGAGUAACACGUGGGCAAUCUGCCCUUCACUCUGGGACAAGCCCUGGAAACGGGGUCUAAUACCGGAUACCACUCCUGCCUGCAUGGGCGGGGGUUGAAAGCUCCGGCGGUGAAGGAUGAGCCCGCGGCCUAUCAGCUUGUUGGUGGGGUAAUGGCCCACCAAGGCGACGACGGGUAGCCGGCCUGAGAGGGCGACCGGCCACACUGGGACUGAGACACGGCCCAGACUCCUACGGGAGGCAGCAGUGGGGAAUAUUGCACAAUGGGCGAAAGCCUGAUGCAGCGACGCCGCGUGAGGGAUGACGGCCUUCGGGUUGUAAACCUCUUUCAGCAGGGAAGAAGCGAAAGUGACGGUACCUGCAGAAGAAGCGCCGGCUAACUACGUGCCAGCAGCCGCGGUAAUACGUAGGGCGCAAGCGUUGUCCGGAAUUAUUGGGCGUAAAGAGCUCGUAGGCGGCUUGUCACGUCGGAUGUGAAAGCCCGAGGCUUAACCUCGGGUCUGCAUUCGAUACGGGCUAGCUAGAGUGUGGUAGGGGAGAUCGGAAUUCCUGGUGUAGCGGUGAAAUGCGCAGAUAUCAGGAGGAACACCGGUGGCGAAGGCGGAUCUCUGGGCCAUUACUGACGCUGAGGAGCGAAAGCGUGGGGAGCGAACAGGAUUAGAUACCCUGGUAGUCCACGCCGUAAACGUUGGGAACUAGGUGUUGGCGACAUUCCACGUCGUCGGUGCCGCAGCUAACGCAUUAAGUUCCCCGCCUGGGGGAGUACGGCCGCAAGGCUAAAACUCAAAGGAAUUGACGGGGGGCCCGCACAAGCAGCCGGAGCA